rnacentral:rRNA from 1 species
UAGGUGUGCGAGCAGAGAUGUUGGUGUGCCGCAGUUAACGCGAUAAGCAUUCCGCCUGGGGAGUACGGUCGCAAGAUUGAAACUCAAAGGAAUUGACGGGGGCCCGCACAAGCGGUGGAGCACGUGGUUUAAUUCGAUGCAAACCGAAGAACCUUACCUGGGUUUGACAUGUAUGUGGUAGGAGAUGGAAACAUUGACGACGCUGCUUUCGGGCAGUGAGCAUACACAGGUGCUGCAUGGCUGUCGUCAG